rnacentral:rRNA from 1 species
GAUGAACGCUGGCGGCGUGCUUAACACAUGCAAGUCGAACGAAGCACCUUGAUUUCUUCGGAUUGAUAGGUGACUGAGUGGCGGACGGGUGAGUAACGCGUGGGUAACCUGCCUCAUACAGGGGGACAACAGUUGGAAACGACUGCUAAUACCGCAUAACACAACGAGACCGCAUGAUCUUGUUGUCAAAGCUUUAUGUGCUGGAAGAUGGCCUCGCGUCUGAUUAGCUAGUUGGUGGGGUAACGGCCUACCAAGGCGACGAUCAGUAGCCGGUCUGAGAGGAUGAACGGCCACAUUGGGACUGAGAUACGGCCCAG